GCCAGCGAAGCAGAAGUGGAUAUUGCGCGGCACUCAUAACGCCGUUGUAGUUGGUUCGAGUCCAACCGUUGGCACCA
rnacentral:tRNA from 1 species